UCCCAGACUCCUACGGGAGGCAGCAGUAAGGAAUAUUGGUCAAUGGCCGCAGGGCUGAACCAGCCAAGUCGCGUGAGGGAUGACGGUCCUAUGGAUUGUAAACCUCUUUUGUCAGGGAGCAAAGGGCGCCACGUGUGGCGUUUUGCGAGUACCUGAAGAAAAAGCAUCGGCUAACUCCGUGCCAGCAGCCGCGGUAAUACGGAGGAUGCGAGCGUUAUCCGGAUUUAUUGGGUUUAAAGGGUGCGCAGGCGGAGGUGCAAGUCAGCGGUCAAAUUGCGGGGCUCAACCCCGUACUGCCGUCGGAACUGGGUGCCUUGAGUGGGCGAGAAGUAUGCGGAAUGCGUGGUGUAGCGGUGAAAUGCAUAGAUAUCACGCAGAACCCCGAUUGCGAAGGCAGCAUACCGGCGCCCUACUGACGCUGAGGCACGAAAGUGCGGGUAUCGAACAGGAUUAGAUACCCGUGUAA
rnacentral:rRNA from 1 species